ACAAGUUCUGAGAUUUGACCCGAGAUAAAGAUAUUUUAUUCCAUAUUAUUAUUACCAUUUGAACAGUACCAAUCUGGAAAUGUCAGCAACAAUUCAAAGCAACAGAGCAUAAAUUAACUUCAAUGCGAAUCCUGAGACCUACUUGGUGAGUUCUAGCCGCAUGAAAGCCGAGACGUGUUCCGUAAUUCAAUAUAUCUAACUAUGUAUGUACAUAUAUCCCAACGAAAACCAAGAGACAAAGUUGCAGUGACUGUGGCACAGAGGUCACAUUUGGCAGCCCAUGGAUGAGGACUAAUAAACAGGUUCACAGGCGCAGGCACAGCACAGCUUCCCUUAUCGUCUUCCUCACCCGGAGUGUUUCAUCCGGCUCGUCGUGAAUUCAUAGUUUGUCUGCCGGGUUUAUACCCACUACGUGAUUUACGGCAAUAACUCAUUGUGCCAAGCAACCAAACACAGGACGCAAAUCAAGAGACCAGCGAACGUGUCUCUCUUCCUACACACAUAUGUAUGUAAAUGCAACCAUGAAAACUAUUUCAAAGGGAGCCAAGCAGAACAAAAAGCAAAAAAAAAAAAGCAAAUAUCACCCUCUAUUAGAGGUCGACCACUUUCUGGACAUAUGUUGCGCCCUGCUGCCUGUCUGACUGCCUGCCUUGUGUGAUGAUAUAUGACCCUUGCCCCCCACUCUCCGUUCUCUCUCUCUCACUAUAUAACCCUGUACAAUUCUUGAUUAUGGUGGCUACAAAUGCCUCGAAGCAUGAAGCAGAAUGGUUGCAUUUGCUGGUAUGUUAAGACUUCUGUUUGCAUAUAAGCUCAAAACACAUAAUUAAUUGAAAGAUAUGCAUCGACAUCGACUUUUUGGGGCAGUAUUUGGAAUAUUUGGCUAGUAUUUUGU